rnacentral:misc_RNA from 1 species
GAUGAAGAACGUAGCGAAAUGCGAUACUUGGUGUGAAUUGCAGAAUCCCGUGAACCAUCGAGUCUUUGAACGCAAGUUGCGUCCGAAGCCACUAGGCCGAGGGCACGCCUGCCUGGGCGUCACACGCCGUUGCCCCCCCAUCUACUCCUUCGGGAUUGCGGGGGGGCGGAUGAUGGCCUCCUGUGCGCCUAGCCGCGCGGUUGGCAUAAAUACCAAGUCCUCGGCGACGCACGCCACGACAAUCGGUGGUUGCGAAACCUCGGUUGCCCGUCGUGUGCGUUCGUCGCGCAUCGAGGGCUCGAAAAAAUGCUCGGCUCCGGCUGGGCUUUCAACGCGACCCCAGGUCAGGCGGGGUUACCCGCUGAAUUUAAGCAUAUCAAUAAGCGGAGGA